CCUACGGGAGGCAGCAGUAGGGAAUAUUGCUCAAUGGGGGAAACCCUGAAGCAGCAACGCCGCGUGGAGGAUGAAGGUUUUCGGAUUGUAAACUCCUUUUGUUAGAGAAGAUAAUGACGGUAUCUAACAAAUAAGCACCGGCUAACUCCGUGCCAGCAGCCGCGGUAAUACGGAGGGUGCAAGCGUUACUCGGAGUCACUGGGCGUAAGGAGCGCGUAGGCGGGAUAGCAAGUCAGAUGUGAAAUCCUAUGGCUUAACCAUAGAACUGCAUUUGAAACUGUUAUUCUAGAGUAUGGGAGAGGUAGGUGGAAUUCGUGGUGUAGCGGUAAAAUCCAUAGAGAUCAAGAAGAAUACUCAUUGCGAAGGCGACCUACUAGAACAUAACUGACGCUGAUGCGCGAAAGCGUGGGGAGCAAACAGGAUUAGAUACCCCAGUAGUC
rnacentral:rRNA from 1 species